rnacentral:tRNA from 1 species
GUUCGUGUAGUUGAAUACAACGAUAGCUUUUCAGGCUUUUGGUCUUGGUUAAAGUCCAAGUAUGAAUC